rnacentral:lncRNA from 1 species
UAUGGAACUAUUGAAAAAAAACAUUUGAUAUACCAAGGUCUAAAGUCGUAGUUGAUGCUAUUGAGGAUCCGAUGUGGUUUUUGGUCAAUGACCACAUCGACUUAAGCAAUCAUGGACACAUUGUUGUCGAUUCAUUAUUGAAGAACUCCAAAGGCAUUUAAUCACAUUACAUCUCAUAACGCAACUGAACUUUGCUGCUUGCGUAUGGGUUGCUAACGCCGUCAUCAUCACCAUGGCUGUUAAUGCAAGCACUAAAAUGGCUUUGCUUCCACCGUUUGUAUUAAUGGUUUCCCAUUUCUUAUUCUUCCUUUUUACAGCACAAUCUCUUCC